UGGGGGAUAUUGCACAAUGGGCGAAAGCCUGAUGCAGCGACGCCGCGUGGGGGAUGAAGGCUUUCGGGUUGUAAACCUCUUUCGCUAUCGAACAAGGCCCGCUUAGGGUGGGUUGAGGGUAGGCGGAGUAGAAGCGCCGGCUAACUACGUGCCAGCAGCCGCGGUAAUACGUAGGGCGCGAGCGUUGUCCGGAAUUAUUGGGCGUAAAGGGCUUGUAGGCGGCUUGUUGCGCCUGCUGUGAAAACGCGGGGCUUAACUUCGCGCGUGCAGUGGGUACGGGCAGGCUUGAGUGUGGUAGGGGUGACUGGAAUUCCAGGUGUAGCGGUGGAAUGCGCAGAUAUCUGGAGGAACACCGAUGGCGAAGGCAGGUCACUGGGCCAUUACUGGCGCUGAGGAGCGAAAGCAUGGGUAGCGAACAGG
rnacentral:rRNA from 1 species